GCAAAGGCGACAAGGCUCUUCUGAAAGUAGCCCUGCCAUCUGAAGCAUGAAAUAAAUCUCAUAAUACCAGUGGAGCAUCAGCCGGCUCCGGCUGCGUGGCUUCCCUCCUUUCCUCUAACACAGGUGUUUCUUGAAAGGAUCACUCAAUGGUUUAUGAAAAGAUAAAAUAUAUAUUUAAUGAAAGCUUAAA